AUUUCCGGCGCGGCCACUAUUGGCCGCACCGAGCCCGGAAGUCCCACCUCCUUCUGAACGCCCGCGAUUUGACGCUGCCUGGAAGGGACCCAAUGAGGGAUGUUGUGGAGGCGGAGCGGUCGCUGAAGCCCUUUUGCCGCCGGGAACGGCGUCUGUCAAAGCCGCUCCAGAGCGGGCACACCCCCUGUCCUCUCGCCUGCCCUCCCUGGGGACAUUGGCCUUCUUUGGUGCAUCAGCGCUGUUUACGAGGGAUGUGUGAUUUGAGAAUCUCUGGUCUGUGAGCCUUCUAUUCCAUGACCGCUGCAAUAGCUUGGCUUGUGGUGUACUUGGAGGCUACCAUUGCAUCAAGGCUGUUGGAACCCUGUCUAGGUGCCACGUAAACAACUGGGCUAGCCUGCGACAAAGUGAAUGACCACAUGGACCAGAGGCAAGAUUGCUCAUGAGAAAUGAGAGAGAUCAGCAAACCUGUCUGCCCAACCUGCUGCUGAGUAUAGACUCAUGCAUAUGCCCAGCUAAGAUCAGUUGAAUCUGGCCCAGGCCAGAAGAAUGACCCAGCAGAUCAACAGUUGUGGUUGUUUUAACCAAUAAAGUUUGGCAUGGUUUAUUAGGCAGCAAUAGUUAAUCGAUACAAAGUCAUUCAUUGCUGUAUCAUUUAUCCUAACAAGAAAGCAGAAACAAUCUGAGUAGUGAUAAUAAGUUGUUUAAAUAAAUUACCCUAUAUUUUCUUGGAGGAAUAUUUUAUGACCCUGAAGCUGUUCUCAUGAAGUUAGCCUAUAAUCAUGCUCACCAUUAUCGAGGCAUCACACGACCUCAGAUUCCCUUGUCAUGAGUUUUUAUGAAUUCUCAGGGUAGAUUUCGUUCUUCCUGAGUGGCAGGGUGGCUUUUCCUAAUUUAUCCUUUUAUUGAAAUGAAGCCUCAUCUUUGGACGGGAAUUGCAAUACCUACCUAAAAUCUUGUCUUAUGAUCCCACUUAUGUGUUAAUGAAGGGGGCAGAAAUCGGUGGGGGAGACGAACCAUGAGAGACUAUCGACUCUGAGAAACAAACUGAGGGUUCCGGAUGGGAGGGGGGUGGGAGGAUGGGUUAGCCUGGUGGUGGGUAUUGAGGAGGGCACGUUCUGCAUGGAGCACUGGGUGUUAUACGCAAACAAUGAAUCAUGGAACACUACAUCAAGAACUAAUGAUGUAAUGUAUGGUGAUUAACAUAACAU